UAGGGAAUCUUCCACAAUGGACGCAAGUCUGAUGGAGCAACGCCGCGUGAGUGAAGAAGGUCUUCGGAUCGUAAAACUCUGUUGUUAGAGAAGAACACGAGUGAGAGUAACUGUUCAUUCGAUGACGGUAUCUAACCAGCAAAGUCACGGCUAACUACGUGCCAG
rnacentral:rRNA from 1 species